CCUACGGGAGGCUGCAGUGGGGAAUAUUGCGCAAUGGGGGCAACCCUGACGCAGCCAUGCCGCGUGAAUGAAGAAGGCCUUCGGGUUGUAAAGUUCUUUCGGUAGCGAGGAAGGCAUUUAGUUUAAUAAACUAGGUGAUUGACGUUAACUACAGAAGAAGCACCGGCUAACUCCGUGCCAGCAGCCGCGGUAAUACGGAGGGUGCGAGCGUUAAUCGGAAUAACUGGGCGUAAAGGGCACGCAGGCGGUGACUUAAGUGAGGUGUGAAAGCCCCGGGCUUAACCUGGGAAUUGCAUUUCAUACUGGGUCGCUAGAGUACUUUAGGGAGGGGUAGAAUUCCACGUGUAGCGGUGAAAUGCGUAGAGAUGUGGAGGAAUACCGAAGGCGAAGGCAGCCCCUUGGGAAUGUACUGACGCUCAUGUGCGAAAGCGUGGGGAGCGAACGGGAUUAGAUACCCUAGUAGUC
rnacentral:rRNA from 1 species